rnacentral:rRNA from 1 species
AGGACGAACGCUGGCGGCGUGCUUAACACAUGCAAGUCAAGGGGGCCCAGCAAUGGGCAACCGGCGAACGGGUGCGUAACACGUGAGCAACCUGCCGAAAUGUGGGGGAUAGCCGGCCUAACGGCCGAGUAAUACCGCAUACGCUCUCGAUGAGGCAUUUCAUUGAGAGGAAACCUACGGGACAUUUCGAGGGGCUCGCGGCCUAUCAGCUAGUUGGCGAGGUAACGGCUCACCAAGGCAACGACGGGUA